GUGAAUCAUCAAAUUUUUGAACGCAAAUUGCACUCUCCUCGGAGAGUAUGCCUGUUUGAGGGUCAGCCUAAAAAAAAUCGACAUCGUUGCUGUUUCACGGUGACGUUCGUCGGAAAUUGGGUUAUCUUAAACCUUUUGGUUUAAAGGACUUAAAAAUUUUCUUUUUGUUUCCAUGACGUUUCUCAUAAGUAUUUCUUCACACCAUGAUUAAGG
rnacentral:misc_RNA from 1 species